GAUGAAGAACGUAGCGAAAUGUGAUAAGUAGUGUGAAUUGCAGAAUUCAGUGAAUCAUCGAAUCUUUGAACGCACAUUGCGCCCUUUGGUAUUCCUUAGGGCAUGCCUGUUCGAGCGUCAUUUGAAACCUCAAGCUCAGCUUGGUGUUGGGUGUCUGUCCCCGCCUCACCGCGGGGACUCGCCUCAAAAUCAUUGGCGGCCGGUACGUUGGCUUCGAGCGCAGCAGAAACGCGAACUCGAGGCCCGGCGGAUCGGCGACCAGAAGUCACUUCUUCACAGUUUGACCUCGGAUCAGGUAGGGAUACCCGCUGAACUUAAGCAUAUCAAUAAGCGGAGGA
rnacentral:misc_RNA from 1 species